GACGAACGCUGGCGGCGUGCCUAAUACAUGCAAGUAGAACGCUGAAGAGAGGAGCUUGCUCUUCUUGGAUGAGUUGCGAACGGGUGAGUAACGCGUAGGUAACCUGCCUUGUAGCGGGGGAUAACUAUUGGAAACGAUAGCUAAUACCGCAUAAAAGUCGAUAUCGCAUGAUAUUGAUUUGAAAGGUGCAAUUGCAUCACUAAGAGAUGGACCUGCGUUGUAUUAGCUAGUUGGUGAGGUAACGGCUCACCAAGGCGACGAUACAUAGCCGACCUGAGAGGGUGAUCGGCCACACUGGGACUGAGACACGGCCCAGACUCCUACGGGAGGCAGCAGUAGGGAAUCUUCGGCAAUGGGGGCAACCCUGACCGAGCAACGCCGCGUGAGUGAAGAAGGUUUUCGGAUCGUAAAGCUCUGUUGUAAGUCAAGAACGAGUGUGAGAGUGGAAAGUUCACACUGUGACGGUAGCUUACCAGAAAGGGACGGCUAACUACGUGCCAGCAGCCGCGGUAAUACGUAGGUCCCGAGCGUUGUCCGGAUUUAUUGGGCGUAAAGCGAGCGCAGGCGGUUUGAUAAGUCUGAAGUUAAAGGCUGUGGCUCAACCAUAGUUCGCUUUGGAAACUGUCAAACUUGAGUGCAGAAGGGGAGAGUGGAAUUCCAUGUGUAGCGGUGAAAUGCGUAGAUAUAUGGAGGAACACCGGUGGCGAAAGCGGCUCUCUGGUCUGUAACUGACGCUGAGGCUCGAAAGCGUGGGGAGCGAACAGG
rnacentral:rRNA from 1 species